rnacentral:rRNA from 1 species
GGCCGCGGGAAUUCGAUUCAGGCCUAACACAUGCAAGUCGAGCGGGGUUUUCGGACCUAGCGGCGGACGGGUGAGUAAUGCGUAGGAAGAUACCCGAUAGAGGGGGAUACCAGUUGGAAACGACUGUUAAUACCGCAUAAUGUGUACGGACCAAAGUGUGGGACCUUCGGGCCACAUGCUAUCGGAUGCGCCUACGUGGGAUUAGCUAGUUGGUGAGGUAAUGGCUCACCAAGGCGACGAUCCCUAGCCGGUUUGAGAGGAUGAUCAGCCACACUGGAACUGAGACACGGUCCAGACUCCUACGGGAGGCAGCAGUGGGGAAUAUUGGACAAUGGGCGCAAGCCUGAUCCAGCCAAGGCGCGUGUGUGAAGAAGGCCUUCGGGUG